UACAGAGGUCUCAAGCGUUGUUCGGAUUCAUUGGGCGUAAAGGGUGCGUAGGUGGUGCUGUAAGUCAGGUGUGAAAUCUCGGGGCUCAACCCCGAAACUGCACUUGAUACUGCAGUGCUCGAGGACUGGAGAGGAGAUUGGAAUUCAUGGUGUAGCAGUGAAAUGCGUAGAUAUCAUGAGGAAGACCAGUGGCGAAGGCGGAUCUCUGGACCGAGACUGACGCUGAGGCGCGAAAGCGUGGGGAGCAAACAGG
rnacentral:rRNA from 1 species